CGCAAGGGGAGCGGCAGACGGGUGAGUAACGCGUGGGAACGUACCCUUUACUACGGAACAACUCCGGGAAACUGGAGCUAAUACCGUAUGUGCCCUUUGGGGGAAAGAUUUAUCGGUAAAGGAUCGGCCCGCGUUGGAUUAGCUAGUUGGUGGGGUAAAGGCCUACCAAGGCGACGAUCCAUAGCUGGUCUGAGAGGAUGAUCAGCCACAUUGGGACUGAGACACGGCCCAAACUCCUACGGGAGGCAGCAGUGGGGAAUAUUGGACAAUGGGCGCAAGCCUGAUCCAGCCAUGCCGCGUGAAUGAUGAAGGCCUUAGGGUUGUAAAGUUCUUUCACCGGAGAAGAUAAUGACGGUAUCCGGAGAAGAAGCCCCGGCUAACUUCGUGCCAGCAGCCGCGGUAAUACGAAGGGGGCUAGCGUUGUUCGGAAUUACUGGGCGUAAAGCGCACGUANGCGGACAUUUAAGUCAGGGGUGAAAUCCCAGAGCUCAACUCUGGAACUGCCUUUGAUACUGGGUGUC
rnacentral:rRNA from 1 species